rnacentral:tRNA from 1 species
AUUUAAAUAGCUUAUGAAUAGAGCAUAACAUUGAAGUUGUUAAGGAGGUAAAUAUAUCUUUAAAUA